AUUUGACUAAACACAAUUCAGGGAAGAUGGAUUAAACUGGACCCUGGAAGAUUUCACUAAAUCGACAUUAAUUGUUUUUUAAACAUAACGAGAGUUGAAUUAAAACACAUAAAAGCACAAACAUCCAGCGGGCAGAAUGGUUAAAGAGUUCAUACAAGGUGGCGCUUUCUAAGCGGGAAAAUUUUCUCUUUGGCUCAAUUAAACGCCAUCUGGAAAACAUAUGAGAAUCCGCAGGUUUAUCCGUAAAAAAGCCUGUUUAAAGUUUUAAUCAAAAUCAUUUUUAUAUUAAAAUAAUUGACUUAAAUUUUGGACUAUGUUUGUCUAGUUUAGUUUGUUUGUCAUUUUAACAAUUUAAUCUCAUAAAAUUUCACCAAAAAAGGACUCUGGGCUUUAGAUUAGCGUUGUGAUGAGCAAAUUUAAUUUUAUUAGGUCAAUAUUUUUAUUUUAGUUGCGGUUGGACAACAUUCUGAUUUUUGCCAAAAUGACCAAUGAAUCAGCAGUCACAAUGAUGACAGAGGAUGACAUUAAAAGUAAACUUGACUGUGAUCAGAACUAUAAUAUUUUGUGUCACCCUGAAGAUAUGAGAAGAGAAACUCUUCUAUCCAUUCUUGAAGAGAGACAACUUGAUAUUCCAGAUCUAAAUGAAAUGGGGUUGGUUGAUUUGAUUCAAAUUUAUAAUUCAUACUUGUUGCCUUUGCCACAGCGA